UGGGGAAUUUUGGACAAUGGGGGAAACCCUGAUCCAGCCAUCCCGCGUGUGCGAUGAAGGCCUUCGGGUUGUAAAGCACUUUUGGCGGAAAGAAACGUCGCGGGUUAAUACCCCGCGAAACUGACGGUACCUGCAGAAUAAGCACCGGCUAACUACGUGCCAGCAGCCGCGGUAAUACGUAGGGUGCAAGCGUUAAUCGGAAUUACUGGGCGUAAAGCGUGCGCAGGCGGUUCGGAAAGAAAGAUGUGAAAUCCCAGNGCUUAACUUUGGAACUGCAUUUUUAACUACCGGGCUAGAGUGUGUCAGAGGGAGGUGGAAUUCCNCGUGUAGCAGUGAAAUGCGUAGAUAUGCGGAGGAACACCGAUGGCGAAGGCAGCCUCCUGGGAUAACACUGACGCUCAUGCACGAAAGCGUGGGGAGCAAACAGGAUUAGAUACCCUGGUAGUCCACGCCCUAAA
rnacentral:rRNA from 1 species